AUAUGCGUUUUGGCAGUGGCACAAAACUCACAGUUAUAGGGAAGAAUGAUGAAAUCAUACCUCCAGCUGUGGCCAUCUUUUCCCCAUCAAAGCAGGAGAUCCAGCAGAAGAGCAAGGCCACGCUGGUGUGCCUGGCCUCUGGUUUCUUCCCUGACCACCUGACUCUGGUGUGGAGGGUGAAUGGUGUGAAAAGGACCGAAGGGGUGGGCACAGAUGAGUCCUCCACACAGAAUGGGAACACCUACUCACUGACCAGCCGACUGAGGAUGCCAGCCUGGGAAUGGUUCAACCCUCUGAAUCGCUUUGAGUGUGUUGCCAAUUUUUUUCAGAAUGGAACAACAGUAUCAGUAAACAAAUUUAUCCAUGGUGAUGCUGGUUGUGCACUCACAGAAGAGUCGUACUUGCGGUAUGGAAAUUCCCUGAAGCUCACUUACCUCAUCCUCUGUGGCAAAGCCUUGGUCUAUGCAGUUUUGGUGAGUGGUCUGGUGUGGACAGCCAAGAGUGGUGUCAAGUUAUCUAGAGAAUAAAUGAAGAGCCCUUGUCAUCACAUCAGCAGGAACAUGACAAGUUUGCUACCUCUCCAUUGCAAAAAAAUCUGUGCUUCUACGAACAUCUGAAUAUAAUUUUUUUUGUAAUUAUCAGUUGCUGUCCUGUUAUUCACGUUUUUGUGAGCUUUCUCUGUACUUCCAUAUCAUAAUCUAUCAUAUUUUGUUGUAAGGUAUCAUUAAAAUACCACCUUC